CCUACGGGGGGCUGCAGUGGGGAAUUUUGGACAAUGGGCGCAAGCCUGAUCCAGCCAUGCCGCGUGAGUGAAGAAGGCCUUCGGGUUGUAAAGCUCUUUCGGCCGGGAAGAAAUCGUGUUCUCUAACAUAGGACAUGGAUGACGGUACCGGACUAAGAAGCACCGGCUAACUACGUGCCAGCAGCCGCGGUAAUACGUAGGGUGCGAGCGUUAAUCGGAAUUACUGGGCGUAAAGCGUGCGCAGGCGGUUUUGUAAGACAGAUGUGAAAUCCCCG
rnacentral:rRNA from 1 species